AAACUUGCGGCAGCAGCCACGGCUGUCAUGCAAGUGAUGGGGUGAGCAAGAUGUGAGAGGCUUGUUUCUCUUGGCAUGCCUCUAUCCUUUCACUCCUCUACAAAUCCAUUUGAGAGAGUCGUGACUUUCUUCAAAGACAGAAAGAGCAUGAAAGGGAACACAAACGAGCAUCACAGAAGCCGUGUCUCUGCGUCUCCCCAAAUGUAUUCCUCUUCAGCUACAUGCUGGACAACAAAACAGCAGUAUUCUCUACUGGAAUUGUUGGAAAAAAACAUCUGAUUGAUUUCCAUUUGAAUAAAAUAUCUGCCUUGCUAACA
rnacentral:lncRNA from 1 species